CCCUUAGAUGUUCUGAACCGCACGCGUGUUACACUGAUGCAUUCAACGAGCUUUACCUUGGCCGAGAGGCCUGGGAAAUCUUUUUAGCAUGCAUCGUGAUAGGGAUUGAUUAUUGCAAUUAUUAAUCAUGAACGAGGAAUUCCUAGUAAACGCAUUUCAUCAAAAUGCAUUGAUUACGUCCCUGCCCUUUGUACACACCGCCCGUCGCACCUACCGAUUGAGUGGUCCGGUGAAGUCUCGAGAUUGUGGCAAUCUCCUUUAUUGGAGUUUGACUGCGAGAACUUGCCUAAACCUUAUCACUUAGAGGAAGGAGAAGUCGUAACA
rnacentral:rRNA from 1 species